GUUUCCUACGGGGGGCAGCAGUGAGGAAUAUUGGUCAAUGGUCGGGAGACUGAACCAGCCAAGCCGCGUGAGGGAUGAAGGUACAGAGUAUCGUAAACCUCUUUUGUCAGGGAACAAAGGCGGGGACGUGUCCCCGGAUGAGUGUACCUGAAGAAAAAGCAUCGGCUAACUCCGUGCCAGCAGCCGCGGUAAUAAGGAGGAUGCGAGCGUUAUCCGGAUUUAUUGGGUUUAAAGGGUGCGCAGGGGGUCGUUUAAGCAGGGGGUCAAGGCCGGGGG
rnacentral:rRNA from 1 species